UUGGCACCUCGGUAUAUCGGACCUUUUGAGGUUACUGAUAGAGUUGGAGCAGUUGCCUACCGGUUGGAGCUACCACCCAAUCUUUCUCACGUUCAUCCCGUGUUUCACAUCUCCAUGCUCAGAAAAUACAUUCCAGAUCCUUCUCAUGUACUACAACCAGAUGUAAUAGAGCUAAAAGAGAACUUGACAUUUGAGGAGCAACCUGUAGCCAUAGUGGACUACCAAGUGAGACAGCUAAGAUCAAAACAGAUCCCUAUGGUUAAGGUUUUGUGGAGGAGCCAGUCAGUGGAAGAGUGCACCUGGGAGUCAGAACGGGACAUGCGUAGCAAGUACCCUUAUCUGUUCAAUGUGUAAUCAUGUACUUUAUUCUGCCUUGUGUAAAAUUCGAGGACGAAUUUUCUGUAAGGGGGGAAGAAUGUAACACCCCUGAUUUUAUAUAUUAUUAUUGGGCUUCGUGUAGGUAUCCUCAAUUCGCGGAAAUUCGACAGUUGACCGGGUCUGUGAAAUUCCGGCCCGACAGACCCGUUACCGGAAAAGUCUCCGAAUUGGACCGAGGUUUUGGCUAGCCCCCCAUUGUCAGAUGUCCCGAGUGCGUUCCCGAAGUCGGAAUCGGCAAAGGUGAGCCGGGACAGCCUUCUUCCUCCGCCCAGCCGCCUCAGUGACCAUCGUCAAGUCUGUGAGUAGAAUAUUAAUUUUAAUUGUAAUUUCGAUAUUAUUAUAUGUUCAAGCAUGCCCAUGCAUCACUUAUAUGCAUAUAUUUAUGUAGUUAAACUCUAGGCACGAUUUAUGUUGCAUUCAUAACUGUUGAUGUGCCAUGGAUGUUGUUGUGGUAAUUUGGAGCAGUGUGCGUGCGUUGGCGUGCUUGUGAUGUGGUGUGGACUAUGGAUAGGACGGGGUAGUCACGGCUUGAGUAAUUCGCUGGGACCCGAUCCUUCGAGGGGUAGUCACGGCUUGAGUAAUUCGCUGGGACCCUCGAUUUGGUUAUUAAGUGGAAGUCCGAGCUUGAGUAAUUCGCUGGCACCAGGUUGGAUUUAAGAGAGCUGUAUAGG